rnacentral:rRNA from 1 species
UACGAAGGGGGCUAGCGUUGCUCGGAAUCACUGGGCGUAAAGGGUGCGUAGGCGGGUCUUUAAGUCAGGGGGUGAAAUCCUGGAGCUCAACUCCAGAACUGCCUUUGAUACUGAAGAUCUUGAGUUCGGGGAGAGGUGAGUGGAACUGCCGAGUGUAGAGGUGAAAUUCGUAGAUAUUCGCAAGAACACCAGUGGCGAAGGCGGCUCACUGGCCCGAUACUGACGCUGAGGCACGAAAGCGUGGGGAGCAAACAGG